rnacentral:rRNA from 1 species
GACGAACGCUGGCGGCGUGCCUAAUACAUGCAAGUUGAGCGCUGAAGGUUGGUACUUGUACCAACUGGAUGAGCAGCGAACGGGUGAGUAACGCGUGGGGAAUCUGCCUUUGAGCGGGGGACAACAUUUGGAAACGAAUGCUAAUACCGCAUAAAAACUUUAAACACAAGUUUUAAGUUUGAAAGAUGCAAUUGCAUCACUCAAAGAUGAUCCCGCGUUGUAUUAGCUAGUUGGUGAGGUAAAGGCUCACCAAGGCGAUGAUACAUAGCCGACCUGAGAGGGUGAUCGGCCACAUUGGGACUGAGACACGGCCCAAACUCCUACGGGAGGGAGCAGUAGGGAAUCUUCGGCAAUGGACGAAAGUCUGACCGAGCAACGCCGCGUGAGUGAAGAAGGUUUUCGGGUCGUAAAACUCUGUUGGUAGAGAAGAACGUUGGUGAGAGUGGAAAGCUCAUCAAGUGACGGUAACUACCCAGAAAGGGACGGCUAACUACGUG